rnacentral:rRNA from 1 species
GUGGGGAAUUUUGGACAAUGGGCGAAAGCCUGAUCCAGCAACGCCGCGUGAGUGAUGAAGGCCUUCGGGUUGUAAAGCUCUGUCGGAGGGAACGAAUAAGGGACACCUAAUACGUGUCCCGAUGACGGUACUCUCAAAGGAAGCACCGGCUAACUCUGUGCCAGCAGCCGCGGUAAGACAGAGGGUGCAAGCGUUGUUCGGAAUUACUGGGCGUAAAGGGCGUGUAGGCGGCAAGGUAUGUCCGUUGUGAAAUCCCUCGGCUUAACUGGGGAAGUGCAUCGGAAACUACUUAGCUAGAGUAUAGGAGAGGAUGGCGGAAUUCCCAGAGUAGAGGUGAAAUUCGUAGAUACUGGGAGGAACACCUGAGGCGAAGGCGGCCAUCUGGCCUAUUACUGACGCUGAUACGCAAAAGCGUGGGGAGCAAACAGGAUUAGAAACCCUAGUAGUCC